GCAUUAGUGGUUCAAUGGUAGAACUUUUGCCUUCCAUGUAAGAGACCUGGGUUUGAUUCCCAGCCAAUGUG
rfam:Loxodonta africana unplaced genomic scaffold scaffold_68, whole genome shotgun sequence.